GAUGAAGAACGUAGCGAAUUGCGAUAAGUAAUGUGAAUUGCAGAAUUCAGUGAAUCAUCGAAUCUUUGAACGCACAUUGCGCCCCCUGGUAUUCCGGGGGGCAUGCCUGUUCGAGCGUCAUUACAACCCUCAAGCUCUGCUUGGUAUUGGGCCCCGCCAGUUCUGGCGGGCCCUAAAGUCAGUGGCGGUGCCUUCCGGCUCCGAGCGUAGUAAUUCUUCUCGCUCUGGAGACCCGGUUGUGUGCUUGCCAACAACCCCCAAUUUUUUAAGGUUGACCUCGGAUCAGGUAGGGAUACCCGCUGAACUUAAGCAUAUCAAUAAGCGGAGGA
rnacentral:misc_RNA from 1 species